UCGCAACGGGUUUGCCGCCAGAACACAGGUGCCGUGAAAAUCACCCAUAAAAGCUAAAAUGGGGAAGGAAAAGACCCACGUCAACAUCGUCAUCAUCAGACACGUAGAUUCGGGCAAGUCCACCACUACUGGGCAUCUUAUCUACAAAUGUGGUGGGAUCGACAAAAGAACCAUCGAAAAAUUUGAGGAGGCCGCUGAAAUGGGAAAGGGCUCCUUCAAGUAUGCGUGGGUCUUGGAUAAACUGAAAGCUGAGCAUGAGCGUGGUGUCACCAUUGAUAUCUCCCUGUGGAGAUUUGAGACCAGCAAAUAUUAUGUGACUGUUAUUGACGCCCCAGGACACAGAGACUUUAUCAAAAACAUGAUUACAGGCACAUCUCAGGCUGACUGUGCUGUCCUGAUUGUUGCUGCUGGUGUUGGUGAAUUUGAAGCUGGUAUCUCAAAGAAUGGGCAGACCCGUGAGCAUGCCCUUCUGGCUUACACACUAGGUGUGAAACAACUAAUUGUUGGUGUUAACAAAAUGGAUUCCACUGAGCCUCCCUACAGCCAGAAGAGAUAUGAGGAAAUUGUUAAAGAAGUCAGCACUUACAUUAAGAAAAUUGGCUACAACCCUGACACACAGAUUUGGCCAUUUUGGCUGGAUGGUGACAACAUUUUGAGCCAGUGCUAA